CAACGUACAGUUUUUCCCGUCACAGAAGGCCGAGAGAGCAGAGAUUCCUUCCUUCAGCAGCAGCACUGUCCUCCUUACAGCUCCAGCAACACUUCUCUCCAUCCUCUCUAUAAUCACCCACCUACAAGGUCGUGGGAAGCCAGCAAGGUUGAAGGUAUUUGUGCAGGCCCUGAGUGGUUGAGAGCAGUGUCUGGAACAGGACAAGCAUGUAGAUGGUACUGCAUUUGCAAAACUUGCUUUCCAGCCCCUUUGCCAGAGGGGCUGAAAGGCUCCCUAAAGUCUUGAUCAAAGCAGGGAGGUUUUUGACAUGCCCAGCGAACAAGUUAUUUGUCCCCUACCUCUAGCUGUUUCUGAAAUGUUUGCAAUCUCUAAUGGUGGAGAAGAAAGAGUAGAGACACUCCAGGAGAUCAACGCAGGAAAGUAAUCACCAACUGUGAGUGAUCUGUUGCCGAGGGGACACUACACCGGAGUUACAUAAGCAGAGGUGGAAGUGUUAGGCUAAAUCGCCUUGGUUUGACCUUCGCAAAUCGGUCGACGACCUCCCCAUGGAGGGUGACAUGCCUGUAUGCCAAUUAAUAUUUUUUCCCCAACUCCAGAAAACCUGUUUUGAAGCUCCUCCAGCAUUCUGUCGAGAACUGGAAAGAAGAGCCUUGUGUAUGUUUGAAUUUUCAUGUUCUCGAAAAGAAUCCAAUGCACGCUUCCAGUUUGUGUAUCCUGAGGUGGUGAGGGUGUCCCUUUGAUCCCUUGAUUGCUUUGGUUUGCCAUAUAGUCUACAACUAAAGCAGAAUGCUGCAUUGGCAGUGGUAGAAUAUUCAACCCAUUUAAAAGUAUCAAACCAACUUGGUUGAAAUGAUCUCUUUUGCUGGCCAAACAUGCCGGAUGGAAAACAGUGAUGUCUCACUUGCCUUGGCCCUGUAUCUGCAGUCCCUAAAUCAGUUCCCCAGUUACCCAUUGACUCUUGUCUGUUCUGAUGUUCCUGUUCAUUGUUGUUCUUAUCUGUUGUAUCUCCUUCUUGUGUGUCCCUUUCUCCUGUUCUCCUUUCUUCAUCCUCUACUAUUUUUGGCUCAUCUGUGAUGACUGUGUAGGUAAACACAAACAAGUAUUUAAAAUCAGUUUCCAGCUCUGUCAAAUAAAUGAAUUUCAAGAUA